GCAUUGAAAUACUGGUUCCAGUUCGAUCAGCGAAGUUAAGCAAUUUGAGCCUGGUCAGUACCUAGAUAGAUGACUGCUUGGGAAUUCCAGGUGCUGUAAG